rnacentral:rRNA from 1 species
UACGGAGGGAGCUAGCGUUGUUCGGAAUUACUGGGCGUAAAGCGUACGUAGGCGGUUAUUCAAGUCAGAGGUGAAAGCCCGGGCUCAACCCCGGAACUGCCUUUGAAACUAGAUAGCUAGAAUCUUGGAGAGGUAAGUGGAAUUCCGAGUGUAGAGGUGAAAUUCGUAGAUAUUCGGAAGAACACCAGUGGCGAAGGCGACUUACUGGACACAUAUUGACGCUGAGGUGCGAAAGCGUGGGAGCAACAGG